GGAGAGGUGGCCGAGUGGUUGAAGGCGGCUGUCUUGAAAACAGCAAGGCGCAAGCCUCGGGGGUUCGAAUCCCUCCCUCUCCGCCG
rnacentral:tRNA from 1 species